ACUUACAUCAACACGGAUGCACACAACAUGGCAGAGAUAUCAUAUUUCAGUCCAAUGGGCCGGUCGUCAUCAGAGACGGCUUCUCUACAUACAGUCAUGGAAGUUGAUUGCAAUGCGAUGACUCACACUUUGAUUUAAUACUGAGGGAACUUUCGCUUGCUUCGGCGCAGCUGAAAAAUAUUCAAAUUCAAUUAACUCCCAUCUGUGAACAAUAGUACGUACCUUUUUUUUUCCUUAAGGGAAAAGAGAGGUGCCAAUUUGAAAGGAGUAUUUGUGUCCGUAAGUGGAUGACACUCACGGCAAAUCCAGUAAAUGGGGCACGGUGUCUAAUGGAAAUCCGGAGGAGAGGAAAAGUGAAAGAAAAUGGUGAUACAUCAGAAUCUCACAGGCAUGGACAUUAUCAGACAUACAGAAUGUUUUCUUAUGGCAUUUUUAUUUAACAGUCAGCAUAUCAUAAACAUAGCUAUUUGAUGUUUAGGAGUAACUUGAUUUACCCAUUGAUACCCACUUCACACAAAUUGACAUUUUCCUUGCAUUUAAGAUUGUGAAAACAUUGUUGUUUGUUGGUUGGUUGGUUGGUUGAUUUGUUAGCAAGCAAAACACAGCCAAUGUCAGCGUAACUUUGUGGUUCACGAGGAGCUUGUUUUGGUGCACAUCCAGAUGAGAAUACGAAUACAGAGAUUUAUUUUGUCUGUUUUACUCCUGACAAUGGUGGCGUUCCAUUUGGCUGUUACCAACGUCUUACAUCAUUCCUCAUGAAAAAUAGAGUUUUGCUAACUCACAAAUAGGCUGGGAAAAAAAGAACAAUAUAGUGUUCAAAUGUUUUUCAGCUUGUAAUGUAAGCACCUCUGCACAUAUGAAAAUAGCCCAAUUUUCUUUUCAUAAUCUUUUUUUAAGUAAACUUUUAUAAUACCCUACAGGAAGAGUAGUUGUGAUUCUCUGUUUAAAAACAAAGGCAUUUAUCAGGAGUGUCUGGCUCCGAAGGGGUUGGGGGCGACCAUAUUAUAGCCCCAGUGCCUGCUCGGGGAGGCGGGGGAGGAAAUAGAUGGUUCUAGAUAUAAUAGUGGCGGCCCCUGGGUGGUACUCCUGAGAGGAGAUGAGAGUUGAGGUGUGAGCUUGCAGUAAGAUUACAUUUUCCCUCGUUUUUAAUGGAUACGUGCGACUCUAUCCCCUUAUUUCACUCCCACUAUUACGCUUCUGUUUAGCGUUUUUCCAUUUUUCACUCUGCCCUCACGCGCAUGUACUGGAAAUGCUCAGACACAUUUUGAAAUCGUACAAACGCAUGUACACGCGCAUGCACACACAUACACAGACACAUUUCUGUCUGCAUCCUCCCUCACUUGAUCCUUACACCUACGUGCUACAGAUGGUUUCAUUUUAUAAGAGAUAAAACCACAUUUGGUGGAACUGAUUAAACAGAGGGAACAACAUCCCCAUCUGCCAUUUAUUCCAAUCUGAAAUUGCUUGGGCAGAUGCUGACAUCUUUGGAGAUGAUUGAUUCACCCCGUCUGGCCAGAGAGGGCUUGCGUCCUCCCAGGGGCUGCAGCUUCCCGCUGCCCUGCCACGGCUUCGCCUGUGAUGGAGCUGCCGGCCCCACCCCGCGUCUUUCCUCCCCCCCACCGACAAAAGUCCCUUCUUUCCUCCCUCUGAGUAGCUGUCGCAAUCAUUAGAGCCGCUGAUUGGGCUUGGGCAGGUGAUCUCUACACACUCGAAUCACGAGGCCAAUACAUGCCAAAUCGUUCCCUCUCUACUGGUGUGUGACUAUGAUGGUGACAGCAUGAAUGGGCGAUCAAGGAUUUGCUUGUGAUUCUAUUAAAUGUCACAUAAAUCAUGCUGGGUUCCGUUUUUUCCCCCUUUUGUUGUAGUCCUGCUGCAUGAUUUCACUUUUUUUGUCACAGAUCAUGUUCAGUACAGAAGCAUUGUUGCAGUACAGUAUUGGAUGGAUACAGAAGCAAAUCUUUUAAAAGUAGUCUGCUUUGUGUCCAUGCCACCAUUUGUUGGUAUUGUCACCCUUUACUACAAAUAAAAAUGGAUUUGUUCAAAGGCCUCACCUCCACCAUGUACACUAACCCCCCCCACAACACCUCCCAAUGAACAGUUCUCCAUUCAGUUGAGUUGCCAGCCACUAUAUGAGGAAAUACUGUAUAUGGAUGGAUAUAGGUAUCAAUACAGCUGGAGAGAAAGAUACCGUAAAUGAAAUAUAUAAUAAUUAUACAAUAAAUAUAUUUAUUUAAAUUACAUUGAAGGUACAAAAUGUUGUUCUAAGGUAAAGUUCAAAUAAAGGCUUCCUAUCCAAUAAAUAGCUUCCCCCAAAGAAAGAAAAAAAACUUUGAAUACCUUGAAGCUGGAAAAGUGUGAUACAAGUGAAAGUCCAAAGCACAUUUCAGUUUUAGAGUACAGUGACAAGUUAGUAAAACAUGAGUUGAAGGCAUUUGUUGUUUUACAAAGUGCUCCUUAUUAUCAUCACAUUAAUGAAGUUUAAGAAUCACGAAUCAACGGUGGUCUUGACGGGUCUCAACAGAAAAUCCCGAGUAUAGCCUGUCCAACACCGAGACAAGACCAAGACUUUUGGAAGUAGAGUCCAAGACAGGACCCAGACCUUCAAAAAUGUGGUCGCAAGACUGGUCUCGAGACCAGUGUUCCUACACUAGUAAAUCGUAAACUGAACCAAGACCAUGAUGAACGGCCAAUCCAACUAACUCCGGAUGUCAUUCAAUAAGCCGCACACUUUAAGACACAUAUCGAAAAAUACAACAGUGUGGUGACAUGGCUACAGGAAACUACAUUAAAAACUAUAAUUUUUAAAUCAUCUUUUAUUCUUUUAGGUUGUACACAACGCAGUCAUGUUGCGUUUCUGACAAUUUAAUCGCACACACAUCAAUACAACACAAACACGAUAAAAUAGCUAAAACAAAAUAGACGUUCAAGAACAGAGUAGUUGAGCCACAACGGCGAAUAGUCACCAAUGUUGAACCAAUGUUCCCAAACAAGCAAAUGUUCAUCCCAGCAAGUUAGUGAAAGUUCCAGCCGGUCCAAAAACGAAAGGCGGCUGGCGUCCGUGCAGUUAGUGUUCCAAACAGCGUAGUUUCCCAGAGCGUCGGUGAAGUUGUUAGAAGAAGCCUCGUUGUCUGUCUUUCUCGUCCUUAUAUGGGUAAUUCUUGAAACAUUUCAGACAUCCGUGUCACAAAGGACACAAAGAGUUCGCAUCACAUGGACCCAAGAGCAUUAGCGUAAACUGAGUCACAUCAUAAAAACUUAAAGUAUGAAAGGAAACGGUGUCACAAAGAUGCACAUUAUAACAACUUUAAAGCAUAAUGGGAAAAUAAAGAGAACAGAGAAUAAAAAUACACACACAGAUAACACAGUACACUGAUGUAUGGCACCUGAUGUAUGGAUUAGAGACAGUGGCUCUGAAGAAACAGGAAGCAGAACUAGAGGUAGCAGAAAUGAAGAUGUUGAGGUUCUCGCUCGGAGUGAGCAGGUUGGAUAGGAUUAGAAAUGAGCUCAUUAGACGGACAGCCAAAGUUGGACGUUUUGAAGACAAGGUUAGAGAGAGCAGACUUAGAUGGUUUGGACAUGUCCAGAGGCGAGAGAGUGAGUAUAUUGGUAGAAGGGUGCUGAGGAUGGAGCUGCCAGGCAAAAGAGUGAAGAGGAAGACCAAAGAAAAGGUUGAUGGAUAUUGUGAGGGAGGACAUGGGCACAGUGGCUGUUAGAGAAGAGGAUGCACGAGAUGGGCUUAGAUGGAAAAAGAUGACACGCUGUAGCGCCCCCUAACUGGACAAGCUGAAAGAAAAAGACAGAUUGGGGAGUCGUGAUGGCGGUGCAGAAGAUGAGCGAGGAGCUAUUUAUCCCAGACGGAUCAGGAGGUGUGUGACGGAGGUGUGGACGGUUGCUGCAGGUCAGUGACGUUGGCAGGCGCCAGGCAGGCCGGCCCACAUGGCUCGGGGACUGUGGGACUACAGACAGAUGGCACCUGCAUCUUGCAAACAUUUGAAGAACCCACCUGGAGUCAGCCUUAUGGUGAUGUUCUCGCGCGCACAAUUAGGCCGAUGCACGUGUACGAAUUCGGCAGCGACCCAGCGACCCCCUGCCCUGUUCAAACGCCACGCAGGCGGCCCGCAAGUCACCGGGCUCAGCGUGGCAGUUGUACAUGCUGUGCCUGGCACCCUGCAGAGGGGGAAGGAAGGAACGCAGCGGGGCCAGGCUGCCUCCAACACCUCUCCCACCGAGCCAAAGGCCCCUCUGGUGGGCUUCGGAACUGCACAACAGCCACACUGACAAAUGCUAAUGAGGACCGGGACUGAAGCAGGAUGACACGCGAGGGACGCCAUCACAGCUGGAAUAUCUGUCUCGUCUGUUGUAACAACCAACUGCACAACAAGUCUCAGGCAUUGUGAAUAUUUUCCUCUGGUUCAAUGUCCUCCAAACUGUUGAACAGCUCUCUUUGACCAGCAAUAUGGCAAGGUGAAAAUGGUGACGUCACGUGCAUGAGCUAGAUUGCAGAACAGUUUUACAAUGUCACAGAGCAAUCAAAGGGAAAUUCACCCAUUCAUUCACCAGUCCUUCGUAGUAUGGUCAUGGGCAUAAUGGAACCCCCCCCACCCGGGGAUAACUUUGGGCAAGAGCCAUGGUACCUCCUGGGCCAACCAGUAGCACGGCAAAAACAUCCAUGACCAGUCAGAUUCAGAUCUAUGGACAAUUAAGAGUAUUCAUUGAGUCCAACGUGCAUGUUUAUGGUAUGUGAGGGGAAGCCAAAGUACUCUGAGAAAAGUCGGCCAUCAGACCACAAACCCUAAAUGCUAACUAUCCCAAGGUAAACACAUAUAAAAAUGUUCUGAUCGUAUUUUCCAGACUGUGUUGAAGAAAUGUAGUCAAGUGUCCAUCUCUGGUACCUAUCGUUUUCAUUUGAUAUAAAAUAUACAAAAACGCUAUAGCGAGGAAGUACACCUGCUAAUAAAACAAUAGCAGAAGUAAGGCAGAGGCUAUAAUUGAGGGGUUGUUUUAUUUCUGCUCCAGGGCUCCCCCUAGACUUGUAAACAGCAAUUGACUUUGAAGCCGGUGCCAUAAACAACGCUCACUGAGGGGAGUAAGAACUUUCAUUCUUCCGCACCCUUGUGAAUGGUGUUAACUUUUUGAAACUGUAAUCGUUACCGUUUACGUAUAUUAAAAAGGAAACAAAACCCAGUGACAACAGAUCUGUUUUAAUGUGGGGCCGCGGUACCGGUGGGAAACUUGGGACUUGUCAGUGUAAGGCACGGAAAGCAUGCGUUUUGUGCCAUGUUAAAGAUGAGAGCGGAUGAAAAUGAGAUGAAAUGGCGUGUGGCAGCUCACUGUGGGGAGGUAAUUAGGGAAAAACAUUGAGACGCAGAGCCUGAUCUCUCCUGCUGGAGGUUAAGUGAAAUCGGAACUGCGAGUCCCAGCGUCCCGGUGGCGCAGUGAUUAGAAUUUCCUAAUGUGGGGCUAAUGGAAUGUCAGCCGGGAGCAGAACCCCGACACAGAAGCACUCAUAACAACAAGUGGUCAAAGAUCAAGACUGAUUAAAGAGACGCAGAAGAGACGCACGCAAGCUCAUCGCAAUUGAUGAAGCUGAGAACGAGAGAAACGAGAAGAUGUUGGUUCCAAAACAAUCCACUCAAAAAGGUCAAAUCAAGUUUCAGUGAAAAAAAAUGAUGGAAUUAUAGCACCAUUUGGAAUUCAACCCAACAUUUCGGGAAAAAUGUAUCUCUGAAGUUGCACACAGAUGAUGAUUAGCCUUAUCACAUUUUUUUUCAUUUUUCCCAGCAUCAUUAACAACGUGUAAAAUUCACAAACCACUUUUAUUUUCACUUUCAAAGUUCUUUAUUAUCAUGAAGUUUUGUUAUGUUAGUUUAGUUUAGUUUAGUUUGAAGCAAAUUUUACCACAACUCACCUUUUGUAACUUGCCUUCAUUCUUCUUAAUUUGUUGUUUUAUGUUGUUGUAAAUGUUCCUUUUAUUUUGCUUUUUGUUAAUCAUUACUUUAGCAACAGUUGAACUUUGGUCUUCCAUUUUUCCUUUGGGAGACGGAUUGCAAUGUAGAGGGGAAAAACAGCUUGAGUGGGAGCUUAAAAGUUCCACUGUAAAAUUGAUCUGUCCUGGAGUCAAACUUGUGACGUAAGAAAAAAUACUGCACAGGUGAUGUUUUACUUCACUUUUUAAAGUGUAACGUAAUAAAAGUGCUAAAAGUGUUUACCAUAAACAAUUAAGGAGAGCCUUUUUACUUUUUUUAAAGUUACACUGGUUAUUCAACCAUUUAAAAAAAACAUUCAAAGCCACUUUUCACAUCUUGCUCUAUUUUCAUGUGGAUUUCGGAGGGGGGGGGGGUGAUUUUAGAUUGUGCACUGUU